UGGGGAAUAUUGGACAAUGGGCGAAAGCCUGAUCCAGCCAUGCCGCGUGUGUGAAGAAGGCCUUUUGGUUGUAAAGCACUUUAAGCGAGGAGGAGGCUACUAGUACUAAUACUACUGGAUAGUGGACGUUACUCGCAGAAUAAGCACCGGCUAACUCUGUGCCAGCAGCCGCGGUAAUACAGAGGGUGCGAGCGUUAAUCGGAUUUACUGGGCGUAAAGCGUGCGUAGGCGGCUAAUUGAGUCGGAUGUGAAAUCCCCGAGCUUAACUUGGGAAUUGCAUUCGAUACUGGUUAGCUAGAGUGUGGGAGAGGAUGAUAGAAUUCCAGGUGUAGCGGUGAAAUGCGUAGAGAUCUGGAGGAAUACCGAUGGCGAAGGCAGCCAUCUGGCCUAACACUGACGCUGAGGUACGAAAGCAUGGGGAGCAAACAGG
rnacentral:rRNA from 1 species